UACCGUCGACCUGUAUUCGCGACCGCUGUGUAGUGCAGAAAGUGUAGAAAGUGCAGAACGAUGCAAACGAUGCAUCUUUCGCGAAUUGUCGAUAUGCGACGGUUGUGCGGCGGUGCCGCCUGCAGUCGCCGCCAGCGACGUCGCGCGUUUAAAUUUCUCCAAUUCCGCGUCUGUUUUUACGGAUGAAUCGCGAUACGCGGUCACGCGAUCUCCGAGGUUCCGGAGGUAUUUGGCUUAAAGGAGGUGGAAAAUUAAUUACCGAGAAAGACCGACAACGAAUUGGGUUGGCAUUUUAACCUCUCCCGAAACGGACGAAAAUUAAAUCGUGCGCCACAUAACCGUACGAGAAACCAGGUCGUAUGGCACCUUAUCUGCAGUUACAUACUCCGGUAAACAAAACAACAAAAAAAAACAAAAUUGGAUAUCGCACCGUGCGACGCAUCUGCGUUCAGAUUUCUUCGUCCUGGUCCGAGGAUUGCGAAUCGAAGCUCGUUACGCUUCGCAAUUAUAUCCUCGCUCGAGUGAAUUCGCGUGCGAUAUAGCUAGAAAAGCCGGGGACGCGGAGAGUUGCGGAAUAUACCUCUUUCUCCGCGACGUCGGCCAGCGUAGCGUAUCAUCGUUGAUCUGACAGUUCGAUAGGUGCUUAGAAGCGAUAAUUGUGCAAUUUUGUACUCGUCGAGGAAUUAUAGGCUGCACGACAGCAAGCUGGAGAGGCACGUAACAAGCUACGAGGCCGAUUGUACGCCGGUAUAGAAAUCUGCCAAUCUACUCCGAGUGACUGUACAAUUAAUGAUGCUGGAACAGGAUAAGGCAGCAGAGAACCGGCUGAGGCAGUAGAGAGAUCAAUAUCGGGAAAUCAAUCAAGGAGGAGAGUUGUGGAAAUUAAUUUGCGUUAAUAAUUUAUGAUACGGCCGAGCCGCGGAGGCUUAUUGAAAAUUUUCCUGGACAACUCGGACUUGCGCAUGCCCGCGAGCGCUACCCCGGACCCGACCGCCAAUCGUCAAACGAUACGAUAAUCCGCGCAGCGACAAACCUGUCAGUCAUCGUCGUCAGUAGAGCCUAGUCAUCGUCAUCGCGGCCAUCGCGUGACCCGCCUGAAUGAUCAACGUCCCAACGACAGGCGUCAACAACGGCAGUCGACUCUCGGCAGUCCGUCGCGGUUUGCAGCCAACACCGCAGGCCAGCAACACCACGCCACCGCUAGUGCAGCGCUUCGCGACGGUGGACCGGAGUCGCCGCCGUGACAGUUAGUAGUCGGCCAGUCGUCGGCCAGAGGGUAUUGGACCCGUGAUAUCGGCGAGCAGCCGAGGAGGCCCACGCGUCGCGUGUCCUCAAACAAGGACAGGAUACCUCGAAGGGAAGAGGGUAUAG